CCUACGGGAGGCAGCAGUGGGGAAUAUUGGACAAUGGGCGAAAGCCUGAUCCAGCCAUGCCGCGUGUGUGAAGAAGGCCUUCGGGUUGUAAAGCACUUUCAGUGGGGAAGAAAGCCUUGGGGCUAAUACCCUCGAGGAAGGACAUCACCCACAGAAGAAGCACCGGCUAACUCCGUGCCAGCAGCCGCGGUAAUACGGAGGGUGCGAGCGUUAAUCGGUAGUACUGGGCGUAAAGCGCGCGUAGGCGGUCUGAUAAGCCGGUUGUGAAAGCCCCGGGCUCAACCUGGGAACGGCAUCCGGAACUGGCAGGCUAGAGUGCAGGAGAGGAAGGUAGAAUUCCCGGUGUAGCGGUGAAAUGCGUAGAGAUCGGGAGGAAUACCAGUGGCGAAGGCGGCCUUCUGGACUGACACUGACGCUGAGGUGCGAAAGCGUGGGUAGCAAACAGGAUUAGAUACCCGGGUAGUC
rnacentral:rRNA from 1 species